GACGAACGCUGGCGGCGUGCUUAACACAUGCAAGUCGAACGAAGAGCGAUGGAAGCUUGCUUCUAUCAAUCUUAGUGGCGAACGGGUGAGUAACGCGUAAUCAACCUGCCCUUCAGAGGGGGACAACAGUUGGAAACGACUGCUAAUACCGCAUACGAUCUAAUCUUGGCAUCGAGGAUAGAUGAAAGGUGGCCUCUACAUGUAAGCUAUCACUGAAGGAUGGGAUUGCGUCUGAUUAGCUAGUAGGAGGGGUAACGGCCCACCAAGGCGAUGAUCAGUAGCCGGUCUGCGAGGAUGAGCGGCCGCAUUGAGACUGAGACACGGCCCAGACUCCUACGGGAGGCAGCAGUGGGGAAUCGUCCGCAAUGGACGAAAGUCUGACGGAGCAACGCCGCGUGAGUGAUGACGGCCUUCGGGUUGUAAAGCUCUGUUAAUCGGGACGAAAGGCCUUCUUGCGAAUAGUGAGAAGGAUUGACGGUACCGGAAUAGAAAGCCACGGCUAACUACGUG
rnacentral:rRNA from 1 species